UAGCCCAUUCAGUACAAACCCGGACUUUAGGGCAACUAUAUUCACAGCCGACUUUAAAACAUUGGCUCUCGCAAUAAAAAUGUGUCAAUAUUGGCCGCACAAGGAGACGAUAACAUUUCUAAUGGGCGACGACUGACUGAGGAAUAACAAUUCGGAUAUUUGGGGAAAUAAUUCAAGCAGUGUUUUUAUUUUAAAGUUUUUGUUUGUAAUUCCGUCUCUUUCUUCAACAUCCCCUCCCCUCCAAAUCAUGCUCCCUCCCCCAUAGCAGACAUUCAGGGGUAAAAAAAAGCUGGUGGCGUGACCAUGUAGAAAUCUUCUUUCAGCAAUGUGAUCUUUGGGAAAAAAAAGUCCAUAAUGACUCAGGGUUUGCUGUGAACGAGCGGGCGAGAGAUCACUCGUGUUCGGCGGUACAAGGGAGGGAGGGAACUGACGCCGGAGCUUCGAAACUUCUCAAUCCGCGUGUAUUGUCAGACCUGCUGAGCUUUUUCAGCAGACUCUGAGGAAGGAUAUUCUUGCUACUGAAGGAAUCAGGGAAGGUUCACCAGACUGAUUCCCAGGAUGGCAGGACUGACGUAUGAGGAAAGAUUGGAUCGACCGGGCUUGCAUUUGCUGGACUUAAGAACGAGCGGAGAUCUCAAACAUCCUGAUGGGACUGGACAAGCUAAAUGUGGCCAGUAGUGACUAUGAAAAUGGCGUGGAUUACAUCCUGGAACGAAGCUGGCAAAAAAAAUUCUACCCAACCAACAUCAACUGGUUCCAUAAAAUUUGCAUGAAGCUCUAGGCUUUCCAAUGCUUCCAAGAGUAAAUCCUGCAAGAUUAACCACAGGGACAUAGUUUAUUAGGCCACCAAGCAUUGUGUUUCGCCAAGUGCUGCAGACACAUUAACAUACUGUACCUAGUCCCUGACCUCAAUUUCCAGUUGAGUCAUAACAUGCAACAUCCCAGCCCUUUUAGUUCCAGCACAAGUGUCAGCAGCCUUUUCAGCGUAUAUUUUAAAGACAGAUUCACAUUUAUAAAAUUAUUGAUGAUGUUAGGAUGAUCCCAUAGCCUUUUACGGCUUAAAAAUUACUUCAGAAAUACAGCCUGGUUGUAAAAAACAGCAGCCAAUUUUUGCACAGUAAGCACUCUCAAAUAGCAAUGUGAUAAGAUCAGGAUUUAAAAAAACUGUUUUACUAUUGGCCAGAAAACCUUCCUUGCUCCUCUUCAAACAAUGCCAUGUGAUUCUUUACUUCCACCCAAAUGAUAGGCAAGUCUAUAUUGCACCUUUCCAAUAAGGUGACAAAACAGUGUGCACACUAGGUUUAACAACCUUCUUUUAAAAAAAAGGAUGCAAGUAUCACAGGCAUUUACUGUUCUGGAGAAAGUAGUGGCAAGCAUCAGUUAUAGUGCUUAAGGUUGAAGGUAAGGUGCAGUGUUCAACACAAAAUCAAAGAUCUAGGUUGAACAGUAUAUUCUAGGAAAGAAUGGAACCAGCCAGCUGUUAAAGCAGUCUAAACCCAGGGCCAGGACUGAUGUUAUCGCAUACUAUCCACAAUACAAAAUGUUAUUACCCAACACCAGUUAUGCAGUGUAAAGGUGGAGUUAUUAAAGAAAAUGUCAUUUUAAAUUAGCCUACUUAUGUCUGUAGUUCUGGAGUAACAAGGAUCUUAAUCCUGUGAGGAUUCCCAGCAAUGUGCAGGCCUCGUCAGCAUCUCUUGUCUAAGUGUCAUCAAUCAUUCAAGUCUGCCUUCACCUAAGUAAGGCCAUUUGUGUCAAUUCCGAGCUUGGUUGCUUGCAUUAGUUAAAAAUUCUCUCUCCAACAAGGCAACACCGACAGCAGCUCUAAAGGCGCUGGAUGCAUUUUCUUCUUAUAACCUGUGAAAUUCCAGUUCUGGCCCAGAGGUAACUUAACAAGAAGCUAACUCCUAAGGCACAAGUGGAGAGAGACAAGACUAAAAAUAGGUUUUUUAUUUUUAAAAAAGUGUACUGUGAAAAACAGACAUGACCUUCAACUGGAUACAUCUGGAAGCUAUACUUAGAUUCAAUGUCAGGAAGAUCAACAGGUAUAGAAGGAAGAGAAAGGGGCCAAUGUGUAGUACUUGGAGUGGUUUCAUUAACAGGCUGAAAGGUUUGUUG